AACGAACGCUGGCGGCAUGCCUAACACAUGCAAGUCGAACGAAGGCUUCGGCCUUAGUGGCGCACGGGUGCGUAACGCGUGGGAAUCUGCCCUUAGGUUCGGAAUAACAGUUAGAAAUGACUGCUAAUACCGGAUGAUUACGUAAGUCCAAAGAUUUAUCGCCUGAGGAUGAGCCCGCGUAGGAUUAGCUAGUUGGUGUGGUAAAGGCGCACCAAGGCGACGAUCCUUAGCUGGUCUGAGAGGAUGAUCAGCCACACUGGGACUGAGAAACGGCCCAGACUACUACGGUAGGCAGGAGUGGGGAAUAUUGGAAAAUGGGCGAAAGCCUGAUCAAGCAAUGCCGGGUGAGUGAUGAAGGCGUUAGGGUUGUAAAGCUCUUUGACCCGUGAUGAUAAUGACAGUAGCGGGAGAAUAAGCCCCGGCUAACUCCGUG
rnacentral:rRNA from 1 species